GAAGCCUGCGAAGAAGCACUCAAACAGCGGGGCCACUGAUGUGUUGAAAACGUAGUCCACAUAUGCAUUGACGAAGUCUUGCCUAGAGGAAGAAAGAAGGAAUACAUUUACAAGUAAAGUCAUGGGAUUUUUGUAAACGUGUUGUGCAAAA